rnacentral:ncRNA from 1 species
CAACCUCAACUCAUAUGGGACUACCCCCUGAAUUUAAGCAUAUUAAUUAGGGGAGGAAAAGAAACUAACAAGGAUUUUCUUAGUAGCGGCGAGCGAAAAGAAAUUAGUUCAGCACUAAGUCACUUUAUCUAUAUGGCAAAUGUGAGAUGCAGUGUACGGAACAUCAACAUUCUAGUAUGAGAAGUUAACGAUUUAUGUCCUUCUUAAAUGAGGCUAUUUACCCAUAGAGGGUGCCAGGCCCGUAUAACGUUAAUGAUUACUAGAUGGUGUUUCCAGAGAGUCGUGUUGCUUGAUAGUGCAGCACUAAGUGGGUGGUAAGCUCCAUCUAAAACUAAAUAUAACCAUGAGACCGAUAGUAAACAAGUACCGUGAGGGAAAGUGGAAAAGAACUCUGAAUAGAGAGUUAAAUAGUACGUGAAACUGCUUAAAGGUAAAGCCCGAUGAACCUGAAUAUCCGUUAUGGAAAAUUCAUCAUUAGAAUUGUAAUAUUUUAAACAAUAUUAUAAUAAUAGUGUGCAUUUUUUCCAUAUAAGGACAUUUUAAUCUAUUAGCAUAAAUAUUUAUCAUAAAAUUAUGUCUGAUUGCUUAUUUGAAUUAUAUGCUUGGCAUUUUAACAUAAAAUAAAAGAUAUAAAUUUGAUAAAGUGCUGAUAGAUUUAUAUGAUUACAGUGCGUUAAUUUUUCGGAAUUAUAUAAUGGCAUAAUUAUCAUUGAUAUUUGUGUUUAUUAUAUGCAUUUGUAUGAUUAACAAUGCGAAAGAUUCAGGAUACCUUCGGGA